rnacentral:rRNA from 1 species
GACGUAGGGCGCGAGCGUUGUCCGGAUUUAUUGGGCGUAAAGAGCUCGUAGGCGGCUUGUCGCGUCGACUGUGAAAACCCGCGGCUCAACUGUGGGCUUGCAGUCGAUACGGGCAGACUAGAGUUCGGUAGGGGAGUCUGGAAUUCCUGGUGUAGCGGUGAAAUGCGCAGAUAUCAGGAGGAACACCGGUGGCGAAGGCGGGACUCUGGGCCGAUACUGACGCUGAGGAGCGAAAGCGUGGGGAGCGAACAGG